UCAUCUUUCACAGUUGGAAAUGAACACCUACCAUAUUAGCCACAAACAGCGCACAAACAAGCGUGCGGUGUUGCUUUUAGGGGUGUGUGAAAGUCACAGCACACGGCUAUGAAAGGAAGAAACCAAGGAAAGCAUCUGCCCAUCCGUCCGUCCAGCAGUCACUGGAUCCAAUCACGUGGAAGUCACACCUGGGGGACAGGCUGCCCCCAAACCCGCAGGCAGCUGGUCAGCUCGAUCAGCCCCUCCCAUCAGCCACCGUGGUCACUUCCUGUCCUCUGGCCCGUCCCUCUGUGCACCUGCUGAAGGACUUCAUGUGAUGGAGGGCCCCCCAGAGAGAGUGACAGCCGGAUAUUUGACUCACUGUGGGUGUCGUGGCCCCGCCAAGCUGACCUGUGGAAUGAGCCAUCACGCCUGCUGAGCCUCCCAGUGGCAGGCACCGAGGGCCGCACA